CCCUACAAUUUUUUUUCGCUUUUUUGAAAAAAAUUCGUCGUUUUUUUGGAAAAAAUAUAUUCCCAGUUCUUAGUUUUCUUUUUAGUUAAACAUUGAGAUGAAGUCAUUCAAACGCUUUAACAAUGUACAAAAUUGCAUGGAAUUGUGUCAAGCGUUUAAACAACAUUGAUAAUGUUUAUAACUAACAGCAUGGUAUAGUCUCAAUAUACCUGGUGAAUUGCCAAUAAGAAGCUAAAGUGACCAGGGUUAAAAUGUAAAUAUGUUAAAAGAGUAUUUUAUAGAAUUUAAAUAGUUUCAUUCUUAUUGAUAUCUGUAUUAAUAUAGGGAGGUGACCAUUCUACAUUGAUCCAGUGCCUUUUUAUGGGAUUCGAAACUGUGACUGUGAGAUGUAUGAGAGUUUGACUUCUAGGCGGGCAAUUCUACUUUCACUUUAAACGGUAAGUUGAAAAGAGCAUGCUGCAUCUUUGACGUAAAAUAUCUCGAAAAGGAAUCAAGGACCCUAUUGCAAAUUUGGCCUUGUUGGAAAGGAUGGCAGGUGCCUGAGUGUAUCUUGACCCAUUUCCAGGCUAGCAUCAGAUGUCAUGAUGGACCUUUAAAAUCUUUCACAUGUGUACUUUUAAGAACCAUAUACAUUAUUUUUGAAAAUUGGUUGCCAUGGUAAUAAAAUCUGAAAAUUAAAA